rnacentral:lncRNA from 1 species
UUUCUGUAGUUGCUUAACCUUCCAACAGUGCUACAGACUGUAGAAAAAAUAAUGAUAAGAAUUAAGGCGGACCUUUAGGAUAUCUUUAUUAAGUAUACUUGUGAGAAGGGUUGCAGCAAAAUUGUUUGCAGCUGGCUACUGAUGCAUGGGUACUUCAGGAGCCAAGCCCAGAAGAUUCAAAAUACCCAUUCACUUUGAGAGGGCUGGCAAAGAUAGCCAGAUGGUUCUUGUUGGGGAGUAUGUGGUUUCAGUGUGUGAGUAAGCAAUAGACUUGGAAUGGACUUCAGCAAGAAACUGGAAACAAUAGAUAACAGAGAAAAGUCCACAACCACAAAAAAGUACAGGCAAUUGAAAUAAUUAAAUGGUGAAGAAAAAGAUACAAGAAAACCAAGUGUGGGAACAUGUACAUAGAUUGCCAAGGUGGUCUCUGUGCCUGAAAACUAUAUGAACAGUGCAGUUCAUGCGGAAAGAUGUUACUGUCCAAAAGGAGUCUGAUCUAGCUCAAAGAGGUUUAUGUGCACUGACAUUGAGUUCUGUAGCUGUAUGCAGUUACCAUGACCUGUCAAAUAGUAGAACCAGGAACCUUAAGACUGAGGAAAAGCCUCUGAAAGUUGCCAGCAGUUAAGGAAGUGUGGAGUAGAUUGCAGAAGGGAUGAGUAGCUGAGCUUUGCAGCUCUGAGACAACUGAACUGCUAUGCAGUUUACCAUGCUGCAACUCCAUGUAUUUAUUUCAAUUCUGGAAUAUCUGGAAACUAAUCUCUUACUGGGUUAAUUGUCUUUUACCACUGUGAUCUAGAAAUGUAAACAAAAAUAUUUUUAUUGACAUUAAAGCCAAUUCUCCAGUUAACACUGGAAUUAACCCAUGUUUUCUAUACUUCUACUCCGAUGUUAGAAGCAUGCAAGGCAUGGAAUGUAAAUGGAUUUAGUUAUUUGCAUUGUAACCAGCAAAAAAGUGUUUCUCUGAAUAUUUUUGACUGAAAAAAUAGUCUAGUGAUAAUUACCUAUUUUUACGUGUAUUAUAUAUGAAGUAGGGAUACACAUGCUAAUUAGAUAAUAAAAUUAAAUACUUAUGAAGUGCUGUUUGUCUA